UACGUAGGGCGCAAGCGUUGUCCGGAAUUAUUGGGCGUAAGAGCUCGUAGGCGGCUUGUCACGUCGGAUGUGAAAUCCCGCGGCUCAACUGCGGGUCUGCAGUCGAUACGGGCAGGCUAGAGUUCGGUAGGGGAGACUGGAAUUCCUGGUGUAGCGGUGAAAUGCGCAGAUAUCAGGAGGAACACCGGUGGCGAAGGCGGGUCUCUGGGCCGAUACUGACGCUGAGGAGCGAAAGCGUGGGGAGCGAACAGG
rnacentral:rRNA from 1 species